GGUGACUUAGCUCAGUUGGGAUGAGCGCUUGGUCGACAACCAAGAGGUCGGCGGUUCGAGCCCGCCAGCCACCA
rnacentral:tRNA from 1 species